GGGGAUGAAUUGGUCUCGACGGGGUGAAAUGUUCUUGAGGGAGCGUGCCGAGCUACGCUGGUGGAGCUCGUAAAUACAACCGGCGAAUCUAUACCUGGCAACUCUUAUGAGUAUGCUAUGGCUGCCUAAGAACUAGGUUUAGCCAUCAUCGGUCUCAGAUGUGUUCGUUCAUUUGAACACCGGUGUCGCUUCUAACGAAAUAGUGUUAUGGUAUUUCGGUGUGCCAUGACAUGAGAUUUUCACUGAUGGCAAUAAUGCUCCUGUUGUUCGGAUACCAUUAUUGUAAGAUUUAAAUGAGCAACUGCGCACGAAGAGCCCACGGCUCAUGCAUUUCGGACGCGGGUUCGACUCCCGCCAUCUCCACUU
rnacentral:tmRNA from 1 species